rnacentral:rRNA from 1 species
UACAGAGGUCUCAAGCGUUGUUCGGAUUUAUUGGGCGUAAAGGGCGCGUAGGCGGUCGCGCACGUCCGUUGUGAAAUCGCUCGGCUCAACUGGGCGGGGUCAGCGGAUACGGCGUGGCUGGAGCAAGCUAGGGGGCAAUGGAAUUCCCGGUGUAGUGGUGGAAUGCGUAGAUAUCGGGAGGAACACCAGUGGCGAAGGCGGUUGCCUGGAGCUUUGCUGACGCUGAUGCGCGAAAGCGUGGGGAGCGAUCCGG